ACUUACACAAACCUAGAUGGUAUAGCCUACUACAUACUUGGCUAUGUGGUAGAGCCAUUGCUCCUAGGCUGCAAACCUGUACAGCAUGGUACUGUGCUGAAUACUGUAGGCAACUGUAACACAAUGCUUUAACAACAACCACUGUUUGUUAGACACUAUGCCUGGAGAACAGAUGGAAGGAGGAUUGAUUGGAAGCUGUGAGACCAGUUAGGUAGCGACAGUGACAGUGAUUUAAGUGAGAGAUAAUGAGUGUCUGAAGGUGAUACCGGAAGAGUUAAAGAGGAGGAAGCAGCUACAAGAGAUGAUGUAUUCGCAAAAUAAAAAGGACUAACUAGAUGAACAAGAUUAACUGGGUGUGGCAAUGAGGCAUACAUUGAGAAUAUCUCCUAUGUUUCCAACUUGUACAGCUGGGAGAAUUGUGAUGCCUUUUUCUGCAUGUUUGCUUGCCAGUGUGUGUCAAGAGGUGGAAGGAAGUGGUAAAUGAUGAGUUCAGUCUUCUUGAAUUAAGGAGUAUUUGGAACAUCCAAGACAGACUAUUUCAGCACACCUGGCCAAUGACACACCCUACCAACAGCUGUGCCAUUUUAGGUUCAAGCAGGACCUUUGUAACACUUAUAAAAACAAAGUUUGAAUUUUCAAAAAAGGGGAGAGUUGUUUCCCUCCAUGAAUCUGAGCAAAAAACCUCUCGCCAAGUCAAUUCACUGGAAGUUUUUCUACUAACUCUUAGCUCCUCAAGGGAAGGCACUCUCUCAUUUAUCUCUGUUUCAUCAGAACCUAGGCAUUCAGGAAACGUUUGUUGAAUUAAUGUUAGAAUAAAUCUCUGUUCUAUUAUGAGUCUAAAGGACUGCUGAAAAGGAAUCCAAGCCUGUAAACAGAGCUCUUUGGGAUGGGGCAAGAGGAAGGAGGAGCUAAAGAAAGCACCUUUCAGGGUAGGCAUGGUGGCUCACAGCUAUAAUCCCAGCACUUUGGGAGGCCGAGGCGGGAGGAUCACUUGAGGCCAGG
rnacentral:lncRNA from 1 species